UAGGGAAUCUUCCGCAAUGGACGCAAGUCUGACGGACCAACGCCGCGUGAGUGAAGAAGGAUUUCGGUUCGUAAAACUCUGUUGUUAGAGAAGAACAGCGCAUAGAGUAACUGUUAUGCGUGUGACGGUAUCUAACCAGAAAGCCACGGCUAACUACGUGCCAGCAGCCGCGGUAAUACGUAGGUGGCAAGCGUUGUCCGGAUUUAUUGGGCGUAAAGCGAGCGCAGGCGGUCAAUUAAGUCUGAUGUGAAAGCCCCCGGCUCAACCGGGGAGGGUCAUUGGAAACUGGUUGACUUGAGUGCAGAAGAGGGGAGUGGAAAUCCAUGUGUAGCGGUGAAAUGCGUUGAUAUAUGGAGGAACACCCGUGGCGAAGGCGACUCUCUGGUCUGUAACUGACGCUGAGGCUCGAAAGCGUGGGUAGCAAACAGG
rnacentral:rRNA from 1 species